rnacentral:rRNA from 1 species
GACGAACGCUGGCGGCGUGCUUAACACAUGCAAGUCGAACGCUGAACCCGCUUCGGUGGGGGAUGAGUGGCGAACGGGUGCGUAACACGUGGGCAACCUGCCCCCGGCUCUGGGAUAACUCCAAGAAAUUGGGGCUAAUACCGGAUGUGACCGCUGGCCGCAUGGUCUGGUGGUGGAAAGGGUUUCCGGCUGGGGAUGGGCCAGCGGCCUAUCAGCUUGUUGGUGGGGUAGUGGCCUACCAAGGAGACGACGGGUAGCCGGCCUGAGAGGGUGACCGGCCACACUGGGACUGAGACACGGCCCAGACUCCUACGGGAGGCAGCAGUGGGGAAUAUUGCGCAAUGGGCGGAAGCCUGACGCAGCGACGCCGCGUUGGGGAUGACGGCCUUCGGGUUGUAAACCUCUUUCAGCAGGGACGAAGCGCAAGUGAUGGUACCUGCAGAAGAAGCACCGGCCAACUACGUG